UAUUAGUAAAGAUUUAUUGGUUAUAGAUGGGGUUGCGGGUCAUUAGCUAGUUGGUAAGGUAACGGCUUACCAAGGCGACGAUGACUAGGGGAGCUGAGAGGCUGGUCCCCCACACGGGCACUGAGAUACGGGCCCGACUCCUACGGGAGGCAGCAGUAGGGAAUAUUGGGCAAUGGGCGAGAGCCUGACCCAGCCAUGCCGCGUGCAGGAAGAAGGCUUUCUGAGUCGUAAACUGCUUUUGACAGGGAAGAAUAAGCUGGACGUGUCCAGUGAUGACGGUACCUGCAGAAUAAGCACCGGCUAACUCCGUGCCAGCAGCCCGCGGUAAUACGGAGGGUGCGAGCGUUGUCCGGAUUUAUUGGGUUUAAAGGGUGCGUAGGCGGCUUUUUAAGUCUGGGGUGAAAGCCCGCUGCUCAACAACGGAACUGCCCUGGAUACUGGA
rnacentral:rRNA from 1 species